UAUUAUGGUUGUAGAGUUGUAGGUGGUAGUACAUAUGAAAAAAAAUAAACAGAGGAAAGGAUAAAGAGACGUGAGAGAAACAGAGCCCCCGAUCCUCUCAUCUCUCCCAAAUCGCCGCCAUCCACGGCCUAAUCUACCUCCUCCAAACCACCUCGCGGCCGGCCCUGCCCCUGCCCUCCUCCCACCUCGCAACCCUGGUGGCUGCCGGAUUCGCCGCAUCCCCGACCCACCCAUGCCUACCACGUCCCGUCUCUCUCUCACCACGUGGCUCCUCCCUGCGCCACCUGCGGCGGCUGAUUCAGGCGACGUCCGUUGAAUCCUGCCACCGCGAAGCACAAUUGAAGGUCCCCUCGCACCGCACCGCCCUCCCAUCUGGCUAGAUCAAGUGGUCACAGCCACCAAAGCCCACCCUCGACCCUUCCCCCAUGGCUAGGGUUUCAGGCGUCGGCUCGGGAGUCUGUGUCCAUGUCGUCCUCCUUUCGUCCGGUGUGCAGGGAGGAACAACCAGCGGACGGACUUGCUGCUGCUCGGGACAAGAAGCCAUGGAGCUUCUUCCUCCUCCUCUGGCAUCAGGUGAGUUGGUCCACUCCUCCUUUGUGCUCUGGUUUGUGGCACAUCAGGAACCAUUGCUAUGAAUAGCAAAGAGUACUUCACUUGUACAGGUUCAUGUUUACGUGGUAGAUUAAUUAAUGAGGCUUCAGUAUAAAAUGGAACAUCCUACAAUUAUUAUUAUAGAAUCAAUAUUCUGAACAUUAGUUUCUAAACAGCAUGUGUAUCGUUCCUCUGCAGUUUCAUGAUUUUGAUUUCAGAGCUGCCACUUACAGAAAACAUAAUAAGGUAAUUAAGCCACAUUCCAAAAUAUACUAGUUGUGUAAAUCCUGAGUAAUGGUGUGUGUGUGGUUCUGAAGCAGUCCUUAAUUUUGUUCUGAAAUUGGCGUUUUCCACCCUUUCAUGUUCUGAACAAUAAAGAUUCACCCACAAGGCUUUUUGAAUUAUGUUAGUUGUAUGUCUUAAGCAAAUUGUACAGACUCCAAUUAAAGAAGUGUUGUGAUUAGUCAUGGUCAGUGCAUAUAUAUACUGUGUUGUCUGAAAUGUCUGUAGCUUCAGAGGAACUGUAAGCAUGUCUCUCCAUCGUUUGUUAGCAUUUUCAUAUUUAGGUCCUUCUGGCUGUCUAUAUAUACUGUAUAAGUAGUGAUUUUGUCCGGACUAAUUUAUUUUUACCCAAACAUGAAUUGCCAUGUUAACUAGCAUGAUGUGUUGAAUAACUUAAUUGGCCCCUUGACCACAACUGGUGUCUAACUAAUAUUUAAAUUAAGUUUACGAGCACAAACUGGAACACUAUUUCUACUCUAUUAUACUUUACUCAUGCUUGGACCAAGAUCUCAUGAGGAAUCGGGAGAAGGGACACCAAAAAUUGGUGCAGGUUCAUGUUGCUCCAACAGAUUUUGCACUGCAUGCCGUAAAAAAAUAUGUAUCUUUAUCCCAUUGGAUAUGUUCAACAUUGAAAGCAAUCAGAGAAAAUGUUAAUACUUAUGCAACGAUUUCUGCCAUACACUAAGACGCCCAUAAUAGGCUCAUGUAGUUUAAGUCUGUACCUGAACCACUCAAAGAAAUGAUAACAAAACUAAUACUAAUAGGUCAAUGAUCACCUUGAGAUAAUUUAUGAAUGUAUUUCCAUCUACUAUGUAUGCUAAUAAUUUGUUAUGUAUAACAAAGAUUGCAUGGAAUUGAACUGUUGGUGACGGUGAGGUCGUCUUACUGGAAGUGACGGUCAGGUUGUCUAACUGGAAGUGAAACUGUUGGUGCUGUUCUGCAUUCUGAUAAUGUUGGUUGGCAGGGUGAGGGAUCAGAAGAUGGAUGGCGGGGGCGUUUGAGUUGUAUUGGCAGGGCCCUCAUGUAGACGCUGGACGAGAUGGCGCUUAGCCCCGAGCUCGCUGUCAGUCUCCAAGUACAGUUCGACGAGGUCUGUUGAUUAUUUUUCAUCUUGGUCUUCUUGUUUCUUUCAGUCCAUGAGCGCUGGACCACUAGCUCAAGAGCAAGGCCUUCUUCAAGGUACCAAACAGGUUGCCACCUCUCUUUCUUGUGCCACAUAUUCAUCACUACACUGUACAUAUUCCAAGGGAACAAUGAUGAAAUAACGUGAUGUUGUUACAUGUUGGUGUAACUGUACUGAUGCAGAUCAGCUACAGAUCUUUCAUAUCUUCUGUUGGAUGCCAUGAUGACUUCUGUGCUUAAUUAUGAAGUUAUGGAUGUAUUUCCAUCUACUAUGUAUAACAUAAAUUGCAUGGCCUUCAACCUUUAUUCAAUCAAAAGAUAUAUGGAUGAUUCUAUGGUUUGUGGCAAGUAUACUGCAAUGAUGAUGAUGAUGUUCCCGUUGAUGAUGAUGAUGAUGUUCCCGUUGAUGAUGAUGAUGAUGAUGGAUGCCUUCAGUUUUAGUUUGUAGUGAUGUUGUUCCUGUUGUAUGAUGUUCUUCGGUUAAGUUUUAGUUAAUUCUAGUUGAUGGAUUAUUGUCGGUUUAAGUUUCACUCUCAAGAAAAUAUUUAGAUUAUGGAUCACAUUGGGAUGAUGUUCCUCCUAUAAUAUCCACUAUUGUAAUCCAACAGUUUUAUUCAAUAUAUGAUCUCUUCCUCUUGUGAGUAUAUUC